AGCAGCCGCGGUAAUUCCAGCUCCAAUAGCGUAUAUUAAAGUUGUUGCAGUUAAAAAGCUCGUAGUUGAAUUUCGGAAUUCUUUUAUCGGUUGAAUCAACAGGUUCGUACCUGAUUUUAAGAAUUUCUACCUUCUGGAGAACCUUAAUGUCAUUAAUUUGAUGUUUUUGGGAAACCAGGACUGUUACCUUGAAAAAAUUAGAGCGUUUAAAGCAGGCUUAUGUCUGAAUAUAUUAGCAUGGAAUAAUGAAAUAGGACGGCAUGGUUCUAUUUUGUUGGUUUCUAGGAUCACCGUAAUGAUUAAUAGGGGAUAGUUGGGGGGCAUUAGUAUUCAAAUUGUCAGGAGGUGAAAAUUCUUGGAUUUAUUGAAGACUAACUUCUGCGAAAAGCAUUUGCCAAGGAUGUUUUCAUUAAUCAAGAACGAAAAGUUUAGGGGGAUCGAAGACGAUCAGAUACCGUCGUAGUCUUAACCAUAAAACUAUGCCGACUAGGAAUCGGACGAAACGUUAAUUUUUUUUAAU
rnacentral:rRNA from 1 species